UGCCCAGCAACUCCUAUCCCUACCUCCUCGCGGUACCGGCCGCGUUGUACCGGAACAAGAAGG
rnacentral:ribozyme from 1 species